AGCAGCCGCGGUAAUUCCAGCUCCAAUAGCGUAUAUUAAAGUUGUUGCAGUUAAAAAGCUCGUAGUUGAAUUUCGGGGUCAGCAAGUUGGUCGUGCCACUGGUAUGCACUGGCUUUACUGAUUCCUCCUUCUUGAAGAACUGUAAUGCUAUUAAUUUAGUGUUGCAGGGAAACAGGACUGUUACUUUGAAAAAUUAGAGUGUUUAAAGCAGGCUAACGCUUGAAUACAUUAGCAUGGAAUAAUGAAAUAGGACGUUUGAUCCUAUUUUGUUGGUUUCUAGGAUUGACGUAAUGAUUAAUAGGGAUAGUUGGGGGCAUUAGUAUUCAAUUGUCAGAGGUGAAAUUCUUGGAUUUAUUGAAGACUAACUACUGCGAAAGCAUUUGCCAAGGAUGUUUUCAUUAAUCAAGAACGAAAGUUAGGGGAUCGAAGACGAUCAGAUACCGUCGUAGUCUUAACCAUAAACUAUGCCGACUAGGGAUCGGAUGAUGUUAAUUUUUAAUGUACUCAUUCG
rnacentral:rRNA from 1 species